rnacentral:rRNA from 1 species
UGGGGAAUUUUGGACAAUGGGCGCAAGCCUGAUCCAGCCAUGCCGCGUGAGUGAAGAAGGCCUUCGGGUUGUAAAGCUCUUUCGGCCGGGAAGAAAUCGCACGGGUUAAUACCCUGUGUGGAUGACGGUACCGGAAUAAGAAGCACCGGCUAACUACGUGCCAGCAGCCGCGGUAAUACGUAGGGUGCGAGCGUUAAUCGGAAUUACUGGGCGUAAAGCGUGCGCAGGCGGUUUUGUAAGACAGGCGUGAAAUCCCCGGGCUCAACCUGGGAACUGCGUUUGUGACUGCAAGGCUAGAGUAUGGCAGAGGUGGGUGGAAUUCCACGUGUAGCAGUGAAAUGCGUAGAGAUGUGGAGGAACACCGAUGGCGAAGGCAGCCCCCUGGGCCAAUACUGACGCUCAUGCACGAAAGCGUGGGUAGCAAACA